rnacentral:tRNA from 2 species
AAAAUUAUAGUAUAAGUUUGGAUUAUAUCUCAUUGUCAAUGGGAAGAUUUUUAAUUUUA